rnacentral:rRNA from 1 species
UGGUGGUGUGAAUUGUCUGGUUAAUUCCGUUAACGAACGAGACCUCGACCUGCUAAAUAGUUCGACGAACCUUCUUGGUUCGAUUGCGACUUCUUAGAGGGACUAUCGGUGUGUAGCCGAUGGAGGUUCGAGGCAAUAACA